UACAGAGGUCUCAAGCGUUGUUCGGAUUCAUUGGCGUAAAGGGUGCGUAGGCGGCGCGGUAAGUCGGGUGUGAAAUCUCGGAGCUUAACUCCGAAACUGCAUUCGAUACUGCCGUGCUUGAGGACUGGAGAGGAGACUGGAAUUUACGGUGUAGCGGGUGAAAUGCGUAGAUAUCGUAAGGGAAGACCAGUGGCGAAGGCGG
rnacentral:rRNA from 1 species